AUCCAACUGACGAGUCCCCAAUAGAACUAAAUACGCGUCCUGGAC
rnacentral:hammerhead_ribozyme from 1 species